GGCACUAGGUCGUGACCUGGCGGCCACACCUGCCGCCCUUUGGCUCGCCAGGGCUGCUCUGGCUGAUGUGGCUGGCUGGGUGGGUAUCUCCUUCCUCCCUCACCACGCCCCAGUCAUCCUUCCCGAAGCUUUGUGUUCAGAGCUGGUGGCCUGCUCCACUAAGGGGGACAGUCUUCAAUUAAGGGCCCAGGAGCAGCUGAACUCCCGUGCUGGGGCCUCCAAACACGCCCUCAAGGUGCAUUUGCAGAGGAGCACGGGGAGAGGAGCUUCUAAGACCGGACAUCCAGUGGACGCGCUGCAGGUGGCAGUCUGCUUUUCCUU
rnacentral:snRNA from 1 species